GCAAAAGCAGUUGGCUUAAAAAACAGCGACCAUCUCUGUUCAUACUCCACAGAAUUGUGGUUUGCUGAUGCUGUGCAACUUCUGUGCAACUUCAUUGCUGACGAGGAUCAGGCAGCCAGGAGCAUCUCCUUAACAUGGAGGGCUGUAGCCUCACUCCAUGGAGAUGAAGGCAAGGAGCAGCUUCAUCUGGACUUUGGGAAAUCCCCCAAGAGAAGCUGCUGUGAUUGAACCGAUUCACUUGAUCCACAAUAAGGAAUACUAAGAUUUUUAUAUGUAGAGGAACUGCUU
rnacentral:lncRNA from 1 species